AUGAACGCUGGCGGCGUGCCUAAUACAUGCCAGUCGAGCGAACGGACGAGAAGCUUGCUUCUCUGAUGUUAGCGGCGGACGGGUGAGUAACACGUGGAUAACCUACCUAUAAGACUGGGAUAACUUCGGGAAACCGGAGCUAAUACCGGAUGAUAUUUUGAACCGCAUGGUUCAAAAGUGAAAGACGGUCUUGCUGUCACUUAUAGAUGGAUCCGCGCUGCAUUAGCUAGUUGGUAAGGUAACGGCUUACCGAGACAACGAUGCAUAGCCGACCUGAGAGGGUGAUCGGCCACACUGGAACUGAGACACGGUCCAGACUCCUACGGGAGGCAGCAGUAGGGAAUCUUCCGCAAUGGGCGAAAGCCUGACGGAGCAACGCCGCGUGAGUGAUGAAGGUCUUCGGAUCGUAAAACUCUGUUAUUAGGGAAGAACAUAUGUGUAAGUAACUGUGCACAUCUUGACGGUACCUAAUCAGAAAGCCACGGCUAACUACGUG
rnacentral:rRNA from 1 species